GAUGAACGCUGGCGGCGUGCUUAAUACAUGCAAGUCGAGCGAAAAGAUGAGGAGCUUGCUCCUCUGACGUUAGGGGCGGGGGGGUGAGUCACACGUGGAUAACGUCCUUAUAAGAUUGGGAUAACUUCGGGAAACCGGAGCUUAUACGGGAUAAUAUAUUGAUCCGCGUGGUUCAAUAGUGAAUGUCGGUUUUGCUGUUAGUUAUAGAUGGAUCCGCGCCGCAUUAGCUAGUUGGUAUGGUAACGGCUUAACAAGGCAACGAUGCGUGGCCGACCGCAGAGGCGUGUAGGCCCCGCGAGAAGUUAACCCCGGUCCAGGCCCCUACUGGAGGCAGCAGUAGGGAAUAUGCCGCAAAGGGCGAAAAUCUGACGCAGCAACGCCGCGUGAGGAACAGCGGUCCUGGGAUCGUGAAACUCGGUUAUUAGGUAAAAACAAAUGUCUACGGAACUAUGGUCUUCGUGACGGUACCUAAUCAAAAAGCAACGGCUAACUACGUG
rnacentral:rRNA from 1 species